AACGUAGGAGACAAACGUUAUCCGGAGUUACUGGGCGUAAAGGGCGUGUAGGUGGUUUCGUAAGUCUGGCGUGAAAUAUCUCGGCUUAACCGAGGCAGGUCGUCGGAUACUGCGGAACUGGAGGACGGUAGAGGCGUGUGGAAUUCCGGGUGUAGUGGUGAAAUGCGUAGAUAUCGGAAGGAACAUCAGUGGCGAAAGCGACUUCCUGGACCAAUACUGACGCUCAUGUGCGAAAGCGUGGGGAGCAAACAGG
rnacentral:rRNA from 1 species